rnacentral:ncRNA from 1 species
AAGUGGGGAAAUGUUCCAUGUGAACAUCACUUGGACAUGGCUGGUUAGUCGAUCAUAAGAGAUGGGGAAUCCUUGUAUCAAGGGUGCACUCUGCAUGAACAUCAAAAGAGAAUUGGGUUAAUAUUCCCAAACUGGGACAUGGUGGUCGACGACAAUGUUAGGAAAUCUGGAGAUGUCAUCGGGGGCCUGGGAAGAGUUAUCUUUUCUUUUUAACAACUUUCCCACCCUGAAAUCGGUUCAACCAGAGAUAGGGUCCAACCUAUGGAAGAGAACAACAUGUAUUGCGGUGUUUGUUUCCCCCUUGGUGGCCAUUAAAAAUAUGGACAACUGAGUACCAUCCAUGCCCGAUCGUACUCAUAUCUGCCUCCUUGGAUUUUUCAAUGCCCACUAGGUUAGAGAUCUUUA